CCUACGGGAGGCAGCAGUGGGGAAUAUUGGGCAAUGGACGCAAGUCUGACCCAGCAACGCCGCGUGAAGGAAGAAGGCUUUCGGGUUGUAAACUUCUUUUAAGGGGGAAGCGCAGAAGACGGUACCCCUUGAAUAAGCCACGGCUAACUACGUGCCAGUAGCCUCGGUAAAACGUAGGUGGCAAGCGUUUUCCGGAUUUACUUGGGGUAAAGGGCGUGCAGCCGGGAAGACAAGUCAGAUGGGAAAUCCCGCGGCUCAACCGCGGAACUGCAUUUGAAACUGUUUUUCUUGAGUAGCGGAGAGGUAAUCGGAAUGCGUGGUGUAGCGGUGAAAUGCGUAGAUAUUAGGAAGAACACCAGUGGCGAAGGCAGAUUACCGGACGACAACUGACGGUGAGGCGCGAAAGCGUGGGGAGCGAACAGGAUUAGAUACCCUUGUAGUC
rnacentral:rRNA from 1 species